rnacentral:rRNA from 1 species
GGCGCACGGGUGAGUAACGCGUGGAUAAUCUACCCGACGGACCGGGAUAACAUUUCGAAAGGGGUGCUAAUACCGGAUAAGACCACGGCUUCUUAGGGGGCUGCGGUAAAAGGUGGGGACCUUCGGGCCUACCGUCAUCGGAUGAGUCCGCGUACCAUUAGCUAGUUGGUAGGGUAAGGGCCUACCAAGGCGACGAUGGUUAGCUGGUCUGAGAGGAUGAUCAGCCACUCUGGAACUGAGACACGGUCCAGACUCCUACGGGAGGCAGCAGUGGGGAAUUUUGCGCAAUGGGGGAAACCCUGACGCAGCAACGCCGCGUGAGUGAUGAAGGCCUUCGGGUCGUAAAGCUCUGUCAGAGGGGAAGACAUGCAGGGGUGCUAAUAUUCAUCUUUGCUUGACGGUACCCUCAAAGGAAGCACCGGCUAACUCCGUGCCAGCAGCCGCGGUAAUAC